AGGGAAUCUUCCGCAAUGGACGAAACUCUGAUGCAGCAACGCCGCGUGAGGGAAGAAGGUCUUCGGAUUGUAAACCUUUGUCCUUGGUGACGAAACAAAUGACGGUAGCCAAGGAGGAAGCUCCGGCUAACUACGUGCCAGCAGCCGCGGUAAUACGUAGGGAGCAAGCGUUGUCCGGAUUUACUGGGUGUAAAGGGUGCGUAGGCGGCUCUGCAAGUCAGGCGUGAAAACUAUGGGCUUAACCCAUAGACUGCGUUUGAAACUGUGGGGCUUGAGUGAAGUAGAGGUAGGCGGAAUUCCCGGUGUAGCGGUGAAAUGCGUAGAGAUCGGGAGGAACACCAGUGGCGAAGGCGGUCUACUGGGCUUUAACUGACGCUGAAGCACGAAAGCAUGGGUAGCAAAC
rnacentral:rRNA from 1 species